rnacentral:tRNA from 1 species
GCUAAUGUGGCUCAGCCGGUAGAGCAGCUGAUUCGUAAUCAGCAGGUCGCGGGUUCGAGUCCCGCCAUUAGCUCCA